UAAAAGUUUCAAAACCCCGUGAAGUGUCUGCUGCAAUCUAAAUUUUUAGAUAUAGAUGCAGUCGACUCUUCAUUGGGUUUUCAGGAACCCGUA
ensembl:miRNA mir-267 miscRNA